GGGCUCCCGAGUGUGGGGAGGGCGGCUCAGCAGGAGCUGCUGCUUCCCAGAAAGUUGAUUAUUUUUAACCCAGGAAGAAGAAAGGAAGGAGGCGAGGGAGAAGGACUCAGAGAAAAGAGGAGAGGAAAAGAGAGGAGAGGAGAGGAAAGAAACGGAGUCUCACUCUGUCACCAGGCUGGAGUACAGUGGUGUGAUCUCGGCUCACUGCAACCUCCGCCUCCCAGGUUCAAGCGAUUCUCCUGCCUCAGCCUCUCAAGUAGCUGAGAUUACAGACGUGUGUCACCAUGCCCUGUUAAUUUUUGUUUGUUUGUUUUGUUUUUUGUUUUGUUUUGUUUCGUUUUUUGUUUUUUUUUUUUGAGACGGAGUCUUGCUCUGUCGCCCAGGCUGGAGUGCAGUGGCCCCGAUCUCGGCUCACCGCAAGCUCCGCCUCGCGGGUUCAUGCCAUUCUCCGGCCUCAGCCUCCCGAGUAGCUGGGACUACAGGCAUCCGCCACCACACCCAGCUAAUUUUUUGUAUUUUUUUUAGUAGAGACGGGGUUUCACUGUGUUAGCCAGGAUGGUCUCGAUCCCCUGACCUUGUGAUCCACCCAAGGCCUCGGCCUCCCAAAGUGCUGGGAUUACAGGCAUGAGCCACCGUGCCCGGUCAAUUUUUAUAUUUUUUGUAGAGACAGGGUUUCACCAUGUUGGCCAGGCUGGUGUCGAACUCCCGACCUCAGGUGAUUGUCGGCCUUGGCCUCCCAAAGUGCUGGGAUUACAGGCGUGAGCCACCGCGCCCAGCCGGUGGGCAGCCAGUUGUGUUCCGGGAGGAGGAGGACACCCUGGAAAGACAGUGGGGCCAGACACUGAACUGCCUUUGGAAGCAAGUAGGAGCAACAGCGAAGGUUUGCUGGCUCAGAAGCAAGGUCUCGCUGUGUUACCCUGGCUGGAGUGCAGUGGCUACUUACAGGCAUGAUCAUAGCAUACUGCAGCCUCGAACUCCUGGACUAGAGCAGUUCUCCUGCCUCAGCCUCCAGAGCAGCUGGGACUGCAGACACGCACCACAGAGCCCAGCCUGAGUCAUUUUGAUUCUGUAACUGGCUUCCUCUCGGCGGGCAGGCUCACACCCUCCACCCCCAGCUGGAGAUGGAAGGAGGAUGCUCACCGCCCAUUCCUCAUGCAGGCCAUCGAUGGAAAUGUCAGACAGUGCGAGUCCACGCCUGAACACUUCUGGGGUCCGCUCUGGGACUGACACUGGCAGAUCCAUCGUGGCACCCGAGCUCUGUGAGGGCAAGACUUUGUUCGGUUGUGGGCUAUGCCCCCAACCCCUCGGACAGUGCCUGCACAGGUGGACAUUUUUGUUGGAUGAAGGAUUUUCUGUUAAAUGUGUCUGGCACACACAGAAAAACAAAGCCCAGCAGGUACGAUGGUGAUUAUUAUUGUUACUGGUGGCGCUCUAUUAUUGUUAUUAGUGUCUGUUGAAAAAGACCCUGAGCUAUACCAGC
rnacentral:lncRNA from 1 species